UACGUAGGUGGCAAGCGUUGUCCGGAAUUAUUGGGCGUAAAGCGCGCGCAGGCGGUCCUUUAAGUCUGAUGUGAAAGCCCACGGCUCAACCGUGGAGGGUCAUUGGAAACUGGGGGACUUGAGUGCAGAAGAGGAAAGCGGAAUUCCACGUGUAGCGGUGAAAUGCGUAGAGAUGUGGAGGAACACCAGUGGCGAAGGCGGCUUUCUGGUCUGUAACUGACGCUGAGGCGCGAAAGCGUGGGGAGCAAAC
rnacentral:rRNA from 1 species